GCCUGAGGUGUGAUCUCUUGCUCUUCUUGUCCUCCAUUAGGAAGUGUUAAUCAGAGGAAAAUUAAAAAAAAAGUCAUUAUAACUGUGUUAGUCUAUUUGUCAAAACGUAUGAAAGUGUAUUAGAUAAAAUUAGACCGUUUUUAAUUAAAGGGGCUGACUCCCCAUUCCCAGAACACAGUUCAUUGUUCUUGUUUUGAAAUCAUGUGACCGCUACUCUGUUAGCUCUCUGUGCAGCAAAACCUCUGCAGGUUCACUGUUCGUGAUCCAUUCAAAAUCUACCUUCAACUACUACUUCAUCUACGGGUCAUAAACGGAAGUUUUGAUGAGAAUAUGUUUGACAUUUUCUUUCCUUCGUGGCGGGCCACAUGACUGCCGAGGCUGGUUCUGGUUCAUUACAGUGGAAUAACCAUACGAAAAUGGAAUGGUGGAAUAUUGAUGGCUGUGAAAUGGUGACUUGCUACUUGGCGCAGAGACUUCUGGGAAGGGUAUAGAAAUGCCAUUCCCUGGAAAAGAAAAGGAAUUGUGUGUGUUAGAGAAUGCUUGAACACAGUCGAACAAGACUGUGCAAUGUGCAUUUAUUAGAGAAUUCUCUAAAAAUGCACCAACUGCAAUGCAGAUUUGGACCUGGCACAAAAAGUUCAAAGAGGAAGGCUCUGUGUGUGUGUGUGUGUGUGUCUCUGUCUCAGGCCACACGCAUAUUGAAAAUUUGUAAAAUUGUUCAUGGAAUCCACAUACCUUUGAAUUUCUCAUUCAAAU